AGCAGCCGCGGUAAAUUCCAGCUCCAAUAGCAUAUAUUAAAGUUGUUGCAGUUAAAAAGCUCGGUAGUUGAACUUCGGGGUUCGCCCAUUGGUCAGGCUUAAUUGUCUGCACUGGUGAGAUGAGUCUCUACCUUCUGAGGAACUUUUCAUGCCAUUUAUUUGGUGUGGUUGGAAAUCAGGACUGUUACUUUGGAAAAAUUAGAGUGUUUAAAGCAGACUAACGUCUGAAUACAUUAGCAUGGAAUAAUGAAAUAGGACGGACUGAUUCUAUUUCGUUGGUUUCUAGGAUCACCGUAAUGAUUAAUAGGGAUAGUUGGGGGCAUUAGUAUUCAAUUGUCAGAGGUGAAAUUCUUGGAUUUAUUGAAGACUAACUACUGCGAAAGCAUUUGCCAAGGAUGUUUUCAUUAAUCAAGAACGAAAGUUAGGGGAUCGAAGACGAAUCAGAUACCGUCGUAGUCUUAACCACUAAACUAUAGCCGACUAGGAAAUCGGGACGUAAGUUAAUUUUAUUAAUGACGCG
rnacentral:rRNA from 1 species